UGGUCAAAUCUUGUUGAUAAACCGGUUCUCCUACGAUCACUGAAGUUAAGCAACGUCGAGUCUGAUAAGUAACUAGAUGGGUGACCGUUUGAGAAUACCAGAUGCUGU